rnacentral:rRNA from 1 species
UACGUAGGGGGCAAGCGUUGUCCGGAUUUAUUGGGCGUAAAGAGCGUGUAGGCGGCCAGACAGGUCCGUUGUGAAAACUCGAGGCUCAACCUCGAGACGUCGACGGAAACCGUCUGGCUAGAGUCCGGAAGAGGAGUGUGGAAUUCCUGGUGUAGCGGUGAAAUGCGCAGAUAUCAGGAAGAACACCUAUGGCGAAGGCAGCACUCUGGGACGGUACUGACGCUGAGACGCGACAGCAUGGGGAGCAAACAGG